rnacentral:rRNA from 1 species
CCUACGGGAGGCAGCAGUAAGGAAUAUUGGACAAUGGACGCAAGUCUGAUCCAGCCAUGCCGCGUGAAGGAUUAAGGCCCUCUGGGUUGUAAACUUCUUUUAUAGGGGACGAAAAAAGGGCUUUCUAGCUCGACUGACGGUACCCUAUGAAUAAGCACCGGCUAACUCCGUGCCAGCAGCCGCGGUAAUACGGAGGGUGCAAGCGUUAUCCGGAUUCACUGGGUUUAAAGGGUGCGUAGGCGGGCAGGUAAGUCAGUGGUGAAAUCUUCGAGCUUAACUCGGAAACUGCCAUUGAUACUAUUUGUCUUGAAUAUUGUGGAGGUAAGCGGAAUAUGUCAUGUAGCGGUGAAAUGCUUAGAUAUGACAUAGAACACCGAUUGCGAAGGCAGCUUGCUACACAAAUAUUGACGCUGAGGCACGAAAGCGUGGGGAUCAAACAGGAUUAGAUACCCUGGUAGUCCACGCCCUAAACUAUGAUUACUCGACAUUUGCGAUACACAGUAAGUGUCUGAGCGAAAGCAUUAAGUAAUCCACCUGGGAAGUACGACCGCAAGGUUGAACGUUAAAGUAGUAGUAGCGNGUAGAGUAGCGACGACGACGACACGGGAGGAGG